CCUCACCGGCGCGAGCCUGGGGAGGCGAGGGACUUUUGCCCGAGUCAAAGCCAUCACCGCCCAGCAGUCUCACCAAGCACUUUGCAAGUUGCCUAAAGGAAAUGCACUGGUGGAGCCAAGUGGUGGAUGGAAGCUUCAUGAUCCCAUUAGAGACCCAGCAUCCUGUCUCUCCACUCCACCGUUUUCAGCAGAUAUCUUCUAUUCUUAAAAUCACUUCCUGAGGGGAAACAAAGGAAAAGACAUGCUGGCUCUUUCUGCUCCUUUCCUUAUCUGGUUCCCUGCCAGAAAGUGCCUUAGAUUUGUGGCAAGGCAAGUGCCCUCACUUUGGGCCAACCCUGUUUGGCUGGGUGUUCUGCAACCCUCCCAGGCCAGUGAUAAUGUAAUAGGGUGGUCCCCAGAAACGGGGGAGAUUCCAGGUUUCCUGCCCCACCCAAAAGGAGAGUGGAACUGAGCAGGGAGGAGAAGAAGCUGCAGAGGAGACUGAGGAAGGAAGGAAGCAGGAUGGAGAGCCAGGAGACCUGGAGGAGGCACAUGGAACCGAGAGACACAUGAAGAAACUGCGCUUGCCUUUUGGUCGUGGACUGGGUGACACAGAUGUGGGUGAGAGACCUGAGGGGAGGUGACAGUGGUGGUUUUUGUCUUGAUUUUGAUUUUGCUCUUUUCCCUCCAGACUUGUCUGGUUGUUUCUGAUCCUUUUCUGUGGGUCCCCACUCUAAGAUGCUUUAGACUUGUGGCAGGCUUUGGGGCCUUGCUCUGGGCCAAUCCCAUUUGGAUGGAUUUUUACCCACAAGGGGACGGGUAAGUUUGGGUGCUUGAUUUAGAAACUAGAUUCUUGGCUUUUCCUGUAUUGUUUCCUAAUUGUAUUAAAUUUCCUUCCCAUUAAAGUCUCAUAUGUUUUGUGUUGAUGCGGUGGAUGGCAGAACCCAUUUAGAGUAGGCAGGUUU